CUACGGGCUGCACCAGUGGGGAAUAUUGCACAAUGGAGGAAACUCUGAUGCAGCAACGCCGCGUGGAGGAUGACACUUUUCGGAGCGCAAACUCCUUUUAUAUAGGAAGAAGAUGACGGUACUAUAUGAAUAAGCGCCGGCUAACUCCGUGCCAGCAGCCGCGGUAAUACGGAGGGCGCAAGCGUUACUAGGAAUCACUGGGCGUAAAGAGCGUGUAGGCGGAUUAAAAAGUCAGAAGUGAAAUCCUAUAGCUUAACUAUAGAACUGCUUCUGAAACUCUUAUUCUAGAAUAUGGGAGAGGUAGAUGGAAUUUCUGGUGUAGGGGUAAAAUCCGUAGAGAUCAGAAGGAAUACCGAUUGCGAAGGCGAUCUACUAGAACAUUAUUGACGCUGAGACGCGAAAGCGUGGGGAGCAAACAGGAUUAGAUACCCUAGUAGUC
rnacentral:rRNA from 1 species